rnacentral:lncRNA from 1 species
GCCUUGCUCCGAGGCCCUGGGCGCUGUCUCAGCCGCCCCCCGCCCCCUGGAGGUGCGCGGCCAGGAGCCGCCCCCGAGGAAAACAGGCCAGCAAGCAUCUGCACCAGGAGGCCAGGCCUUCUGGAAAUGUGUUGGACAGCGAUGGGUCCACACUUCCGCCUUGGCUCCUGAAUGUGGCAUAGCCAACCCAUGAGAGAUGUCAGUUGACAAAGAGCAUGAGGAUCAGGCCAUGGCCUUGUGACACAGUGGAUGAACACCUGGCUGAAGAAACCCAGGAGAGAGAAGCACUGGACACUGGCUUCUGGGCUUAGCUGCUUGGACUCUGGCCAAGGUCUGGGGAUGUCCAGGACAAUCAGCUUUCUGCUUCUGUGCCCAUAAACUCGGGGUAUGGACUCAUUUCCAGUGCUGAGAAGUUCUGAAAUUGCAAAAGAUUCUUCCUAGCAAGUUCUCGACCUGUCUUCUAACUACCCUGCCAUGUGGCCCUCUCUGGGCCUCAGUUUCCCAUCUGUGAAUGAAAGCACUAGACUCGAAGGGUCCCUUCUGGCUCCUCUAACUCCAACCGAGAGGCACAGCUCAGGCUGAGCAGUUGCAUUUCCUCAUCACGGGGGACUGACAGGGAUCUUUUGCAAUGCUCAAUUCUAACAUCAAAAUUCCCCCAAAUAUUCCUUUUUUUUUCUUUUUUCGAGACAGAGUCUCACUCUUGUCGCCCAAGCUGGAGUGCAAUGGCACAA